rnacentral:lncRNA from 1 species
CCCCCUUGUAAGCCUUGCCUUGGGACCCUUGAGCUCCCUCUAAACUUGGACACUUGAGGGCUAGCCCUUCCACACUGCACUUGUCCUAAUCUGAUAAUGUAUUUGGGUGUGAGCAUUGACUGGAGUCCCAUUUGAGGCUUUUAGAGAAUUUUGACACAUCCAAAUAGAAGAAAGACUUUGGAUCAUGAUAUCAUGGAGUUGGUUUACCUCAUAUUCCAGAUAUGAAGUCUGAAUCAGGCUAUCCUUGGUUGUACUUUUAAUUUCUGAUCUAUUCUUUUAUUUUAUUCUAGGCUGUAAUAAUUUGUAAUAAACUCUUGAGG